GGGGCUAUAGCUCAGCUGGUUAGAGCGCGGGACUCAUAAUCCUAAGGUCCUCGGUUCAAGUCCGAGUAGCCCUACAA
rnacentral:tRNA from 3 species